rnacentral:rRNA from 1 species
UUCCGGUUGAUCCCGCCGGACCCAACUGCUAUCAGGCUGGGACUAAGCCAUGCGAGUCCUGCCCCCCGAGCCACGUCGGGGAGCGGCGCACGGCUCAGUAACACGUGGUCAACCUGCCCUCAGGAUGGGGAUAACCCCGGGAAACUGGGGCUAGUCCCCAAUAGGCGGCGACGCCUGGAAUGGUCCGCCGCCCAAAGGGACCGCACGCAUGCGUGCGGCUCCGCCUGAGGAUGGGACUGCGGCCGAUCAGGCUGUUGGUGGGGUAACGGCCCACCAAACCUACGACCGGUACGGGCCAUGAGAGUGGGAGCCCGGAGAUGGGCACUGAGACAAGGGCCCAGGCCCUACGGGGCGCAGCAGGCGCGAAACCUCCGCAAUGCGCGAAAGCGUGACGGGGUCAGCCUGAGUGCCGGCUGACGCCGGCUUUUCACCGGUGUAAAAAGCCGGUGGAAUAAGGGGAGGGCAAGGCUGGUGUCAGCCGCCGCGGUAAAACCAGC